AACCUAUGGUGAGGGCACCAUCUCAAUAAGUCGUUAUACCUUUCUCAUGCAUCAUAUAGGGUCUCUAAGUCAAUUUGAAAGAAGGAAGAGAUGCCAUUCCUCAACUU
rfam:Gossypium raimondii Chr07_contig_811, whole genome shotgun sequence.